UGAGGAAUAUUGGUCAAUGGGCGAGAGCCUGAACCAGCCAAGUAGCGUGCAGGAUGACGGCCCUAUGGGUUGUAAACUGCUUUUAUAAGGGAAUAAAGUGAGAGUCGUGACUCUUUUUGCAUGUACCUUAUGAAUAAGGACCGGCUAAUUCCGUGCCAGCAGCCGCGGUAAUACGGAAGGUCCGGGCGUUAUCCGGAUUUAUUGGGUUUAAAGGGAGCGUAGGCCGGAGAUUAAGCGUGUUGUGAAAUGUAGACGCUCAACGUCUGCACUGCAGCGCGAACUGGUUUCCUUGAGUACGCACAAAGUGGGCGGAAUUCGUGGUGUAGCGGUGAAAUGCUUAGAUAUCACGAAGAACUCCGAUUGCGAAGGCAGCUCACUGGAGCGCAACUGACGCUGAAGCUCGAAAGUGCGGGUAUCGAACAGGAUUAGAUACCCUGGUAGUCCGCACGGUAAACGAUGGAUGCCCGCUGUUGGUCUGAACAGGUCAGCGGCCAAGCGAAAGCAUUAAGCAUCCCACCUGGGGAGUACGCCGGCAACGGUGAAACUCAAAGGAAUUGACGGGGGCCCGCACAAGCGGAGGAACAUGUGGUUUAAUUCGAUGAUACGCGAGGAACCUUACCCGGGCUUGAAUUGCAGAGGAAGGAUUUGGAGACAAUGACGCCCUUCGGGGCCUCUGUGAAGGUGCUGCAUGGUUGUCGUCAGCUCGUGCCGUGAGGUGUCGGCUUAAGUGCCAUAACGAGCGCAACCCCUCUCCUUAGUUGCCAUCAGGUUAAGCUGGGCACUCUGGGGACACUGCCACCGUAAGGUGUGAGGAAGGUGGGGAUGACGUCAAAUCAGCACGGCCCUUACGUCCGGGGCUACACACGUGUUACAAUGGCAGGUACAGAGAGACGGUCCCUUGCAAAAUGGAUCAAAUCCUUAAAGCCUGUCUCAGUUCGGACUGGGGUCUGCAACCCGACUACACGAAGCUGGAAUCGCUAGUAAUCGCGGAUCAGAAUGCCGCGGUGAAUACGUUCCC
rnacentral:rRNA from 1 species